rnacentral:rRNA from 1 species
AGAGUUUGAUCCUGACUCAGAACGAACGCUGGCGGCGUGCCUAACACAUGCAAGUCCAACGUGAAAGGGGAGCAAUCCCCCGGUAGGGUGGCAAACGGGUGAGUAAUACAUGGGUGAUCUACCUUAGGGAUGGGGAUAUCCUUCCGAAAGGAGGGGCAAUACCGAAUAUUGUCCGGAGCCGUGAAGGGUUCCGGGGAAAGGGAGGCCGCUGAUACAAGCUUUCGCCUUAAGAUGAGCCCAUGGCCCAUCAGCUAGUUGGUAGGGUAAAGGCCUACCAAGGCUACGACGGGUCGCUGGUCUGAGAGGACGACCAGCCACACUGGCACUGAGAUACGGGCCAGACUCCUACGGGAGGCAGCAGUGAGGAAUAUUGCGCAAUGGGGGAAACCCUGACGCAGCAACGCCGCGUGUGGGAAGAAGGCCUUCGGGUCGUAAACCACUUUUGCACGGGACGAAAAAGGGAUAUCGAACAAAUAUCCCCGAUGACGGUACCGUGAGAAUAAGCCACGGCUAACUCUGUGCCAGCAGCCGCGGUAAGACAGAGGUGGCAAGCGUUGUUCGGAAUUACUGGGCGUAAAGAGUCUGUAGGUGGUCUGUCAAGUCUUUGGUGAAAGGCCGUAGCUUAACUAUGGGAAUGCCAAAGAGACUGGCAGGCUGGAGGCUGGGAGAGGGAAGCGGAAUUUCUGGUGUAGCGGUG